CUCUUUCUCAGGCUGUGAUGGGAACGGGAUGCAUUGUUCUAAAAACUGAAUUAGCAACGGCGUCCCGUCACUUUAGCGCCGUGGCUAAUGUGAACUCGAGGCACGGAGGCUUUUUGCCAUCAUCUGUUUAAAAGGCUUUUUUUCUGAAAGACAUUGGCUCAGGUUUAUGACACUGAAACACGUGUGAAAACCAAUAGCUGCUUCCAUGCAAACGCUGUAGGAUCAUGUGUCUGGAAUCAGCUUUGCAGACUUUCCAGAUCUGAAUCUGGUUGACAAAAAGGUCAAAUUUACUUUAGAUAUGAUUUAUGUUACUGAAUAUCCCUCAGCAUUAAAUAUUGUGUAUCAUUAUACUAGAUAAUAAUCUGAUAAUUUUAACAUUGUCUGAAAAAAUUGGAGUCGUGCAAAACACUGCAAGAAAGGUGUUUGUUAAGUUAUUGCUAUGAAUUUGUCAAUGUGUUGCUAUGCAGUUGUCAAAAGGUUUGUUAUGUGGUUGUCAGGGUGUUGCUGUGUGGUUGUCAAAGAGAUGCUAUGCGGUUUUCAAGGUGUUUCUAUGCUGUUGUCAGGGUGUUGCAAUGCUGUUGUCAAGGUGAUGCUGUGCAGUUGUCAGGGUGUUGCAAUGCUGUUGUCAAGGUAUUGCUGUGCGGUUGUCAGGGUGUUGCGAUUCUGUUGUCAGGGUGCUGCUCUACGGUUAUCAAGGUGUUGCUAUGUGGUUUACAAGGUUAGGGUUAGGGUUAGAGUUUAAAACCAUGUGUGGGUGUCAAGGUGUUGCUAUCCGGUUGUCAAGGUGUUGCUGUGCGGUCAUUAGGGUGUUGCAAUGCUGUUGUCAAGGUAUUGCUGUGCGGUUGUCAGGGUGUUGCGAUUCUGUUGUCAGGGUGCUGCUCUACGGUUAUCAAGGUGUUGCUAUGUGGUUAACAAGGUUAGGGUUAGGGUUUGAGUUUAAAACCAUGUGUGGGUGUCAAGGUGUUGCUAUCCGGUUGUCAAGGUGUUGCUGUACUGUUCUCAGGAUGAUACUUUUUCGGGUGUCAAGGUGUUGCUGUGCGGUUUUCAGGGUGUUGCAAUGCUGUUGUCAAGGUGUUGCUGUGCGGUUGUUAGGGUGUUGCGAUGCUGUUGUCAAGGUGUUGCGAUGCAGUUGUUAGGGUGUUGCGAUGCUGUUGUCAAGGUGUUCAAAUUGAGAAACACUGAAGACUGUCAAAGGCUGUGAGGCUGAAGGGUGGUUGUAAAGAAUUUUUGUUAUUGUACAGUGUGUCUGUAACAGGCAGUUACUGUAUAUUUUGUGUGUCCGAUGUGUCUGAUUGUGUCAUUCGUGUCUGUUGAGGGUGUGACUCUCAGAACUGUUGCGUGAGACUCACACUGUUCAGACUCACAGAUGGCUUCAGUUCUUCAUGUGAGCAUGCACAGCUGCAGACGAGCCACCCGCUGCUUCACGUCCCCAUUCCUCCGUCUGUCUUCUCCAGAACCUGAAUUACAAAUAAUUCAUUAACAAUUUCAUUCUUUAGAAAAAAACAUCUUUUUAUGCAAAUAGA
ensembl:lncRNA